GGCCACCCACUUAAUUUUAUCGUGGAAAUAACACAGAGGAGAAUCCAAUUAUACCAUUUCUCUAAUUAAUUAACCGGCAGCUGAUAUAAAAACAAUGUUUGAUCAAUGCUGAGAAGUAAGCAAACUUCAUUUUUUGAUAAUAUUUUACUCCAUACAUACUUGAACUGAAAAACCUAACAUGAGGUAUUGUCAAAAUAACAUCGAUCUUAAUCUGGCGAUAAUAGAGAUCAAAAGCAUAUUAGGCAGACAUGCGCUAACAGAUGCAUGAAACUCAUGGGCUGCUAGGUAGAGGUGGUGGUGGUGGUGGAGAUAGUAAAUGUGGUGAUGAUUGCAGCAGCCCAACACGAGGUGGUGGCACAGAAAAUGAACCCGCCUUCCCAUGCAAAGGAGGAGGAGGAGGAGGACUCCCAACUUUAUCUGGGUAUACCUUCUUCUGCUCCAACAAUCGAUUUGAAACAGCGGCCACAAAAUCCGUAUCAGAAGCAGCUUCUAAGGGUCGUGCCAUCGCCACAUAGCUCUUACCUGUGUGACUGAUCUGCAACACCACACUAUGGAUUAAUAUAACUAAAAGCAAGAAAAGGGCAUUCAUUGCAGUCACUUUGCUAUGGCAUUAUGCUUGAUCUUAUGUAUAUAUUAUAUAGAUGGAGAGGUCAAUUAGUUGACUCAUUGCUCGAGAAAUAUCAGAUAUGUUAACAAACCCAAAUCGCACGUCUUUGAAUAAAUAGGACAAACUAGAAAUUUAAAGAAUUCUCACGCCACCGAUUUCCAAUAUUUGACGGCUUUCGACGACUUCAGUGUAGGAAUUUGAAAACAUAUUGUUUGAAGUAGACGUCAUUAAUUGGCCAUAUCAAAAUUGUGUGGUCUAAUAAUUCAUCGCAUGGUUCUUUCGAUGAACACGAAAGAGAUGGUGCACAAAAAUUCCAAGUCAAGCAAAGAAUUAAAUCGCAUGGACUUGGAUGAUACUGCUUCGAAGAAGAAAUUAAAGAGAUGAAAUUAUAUUUUCAUACGUUUCAAAUACUCAAGUCCAAAUAGUAGGAAGAAGAAGUUGCUGAAGAGUUUACAAUUUAUUAUUAUUUAUAUUUACUUAUACAAAAAUUUAUUCAUAAAUUUCUUUUGAUUUUAAUACUCUUUAUAUAUAAAAAAAAAAUAGAAAACUUCAAAAACAAUAUGUGGAAAUCAAAUAGUAAAUUUUCAUCUAAUUAAUUUGGUUGACUUAUAACUAAGGUUUGACUUAAUAAAUAUUAUUAUUAUUAUACAACUAAGCUCGGUGCUUAUUUGAUUUUUUCUGUUGCAAAUAAGAACUUUUGUGGAGUAAAAGAAAGAGGUUUGAUAUUUUGAUAGAAGAAAUACAAUCCAGAUAUAACAAGACCCUUGCUAUUUUCCCUAGAAAUUUUGGCUAUUGACCAGGAAGUAUAGAAUCAUAAUCCUAAUAGUUGAACUCUGAAUAUGGAACUGGAACCAGCUACUGAAUUACCAUAAUAUAUGAUAAAAGGACUUAAAGCUUAAUUUGCCAAGUCAAUAUAUAUAAAAACUCUUAUAUUGUUCUUACUCAAAUUAACUUUAAAUCAUUUACUUUUAAAAUUAGCUAUUAUUAACUCUAGUUAGUCAUAAUUCCCAUUUUAUUUUUUAUUUUUUUCUUUUUGAACUUCUUCAUAAGAAGAAACAUGAGACAUAAAUUUAGCAAUAUUCUUCUUGGAUUAUAUUCUUCCUGAAUUUGGAGAUACUUGAUUUAUUAGUUUGAAUUUGAUAACAACCAUGGUUAUAACUGGUUUUAAUUUCAGUAAGAAAUCUAAAAGAAAUCUACUGGUGGUGGUGAUGCAACAGGUUUAGGUGGUGCCGGGCGGGGAAUAUUCCAACCAAUGUAGCGGGAGGUCUGUGGAAGAGGCCUUCCUAUGAGAUUUCCAAGUCGAUCUGGGUAAGCCUUUAUUUUCUCAGAUGAUCAAUUUGAAGCAACUGAAACAAAGCCCACAUCGGAGAAGGCUCGGAUGGGUCGGGCCAUUGCAACAAAGCUCUUCCCUACUUGACUAGGUUGCAAUACCAUGGAAUAUUAGCAAAAGUAGAAGCAAGAAAGCAGAAGAAGAAUCCAUUUCUAUUGCAAUAUACUCGAUUAUAAAUUAUUACGUAGAGAUAGAGAUGUUUCACAUCGUAUAUGCUAUCUCUAUUUAAUCCAGGACCCAAGACUUCUAAAUGAAUAAGCGCCUUUCAUUCUUUUGGAAUUUGUCAAAACAAAUGGGACAAACUAAAAAAGGAUUCCAGACCACCAACCUUCUGGACCCGAUUUUUUAUUGACUUUUGCUCACAUAUACAGAUGAUGUCAUUUUCUAGCAUGAAGAAAUUAACCGAACUCCAUUAAUUCUGAUAUAUAAAGUACAUUGCACAUGUAUAUCUCUUCCUGGAAGCAGCAUGACCAGGAUGCAUGGGUGAUACUUAAAAGUCUUAAAUAAAAUUUCCAAGUCACUGAAUUGAAAAUAGAUGUAGCUUAUGACAGCUGUGAAGAAGAAUUAGGGCAUACACUCAAAAGUCAAAUAAACCAGUAAAAAAAGGAAGAUGAAGCUUCCUAUCAAGAGUAAGGUUAUGUUUGGUCCAAGCAAGGAAAAAAACAAUUGUUCAAUAAAAUUAUUUUUUCAAUUUGGUUAUAUGAAAAUUUUCAAAAAAAAAACCAAAUAUAAUUCAAAUUAAUUAAAAACUUAUACAUUUUUAAAUUACUUAAUCUUUAUAUUGAUGAGUUAAAAUAAAUAUAAUAAGUUUGAGUUAGUAAAUAAAAGUAAUUUAUCGACUUCAAUUUUAUUUUUUAUUUUUAUUCAUAUUUUUGCUAUCUAUAUUUUUUUUCUUGCAUUUUCUCUCAAAUUUUUCGGGAAGCAAACAUAGCCUAAGAAUUUAUUCAUGAAAUUUUUUUUAAAUACUUAAUUCGUUUUUACAUCAUUUCAGAGGGUUAACAUAUAAAAGCAAACUAUAUUUUAUAAAAUUCAGUAGUUGAGGUUCAACAUGUAAUAUGGUUUUAUAAUGCUCUUUUUUUCAAUGUAUAUUUUAUGAUAUUAGAGUAGUGGCAUUGGUAACUAAUUAUUAAAAGAUACUUCGCAAGAAAUGAGCCAAAUACUCAACACAAAGUAGUCAACAAUAUUAAUUACUUCAGCAACCUUGAUGUAAGGGAAUCCAGCACAUUACAAGGAUUAUUGAAUUUUUCAAUUUUCAAAAUAUAUUUUUUGGAGAAGAAACAAAUAAUGAUAUUUAAUUAUAAGAUCAAUGAUUAUUUGUAACGAAUUUGUUAUUUAGUAGUAGGAUGGAUUUACUGCUGGUUGUGGGUGAGUAUUGAGAUAUUUAAUUCAACAUUCUAUAUAUAUAUGUCACAGUUGCUACAAAUUUUCUAUAAUAGUAAUAAAGCAGAAAUUUUAUUAUUUUUUUAACUUUUUAUUGAAAGUAAUUCUCUCAAAUUUCAAAUUAUUUCUUUUUUCUUUUUUUUUUUAAUUUAUUACUUAUUUCUUAAAUUUUUUUUAUUGAACAGAAAAUAUCAAAAUAUUUGGCUUUUUUUAAUGCUAUAAAUAACACUUGUGCUUUGUUUAUGUUUUUUUUACAAUUUAAUACUUAAUAAAAAUAAAAUAUUAAAAAAAUAAACAAUUUAAUAUUUAAUACUAUUAAACAUUAUUUAGCUUAAAUUCUAUUUAGAAUUAAGUAAAGAAAAACAAACACGGUCUAAGUCUUUUUAUAUUGACAUUUUAGUUAAACUCAAGUGCAAAAAGUGGCUUAUAGCAUAAUGAGUACUUCUUUGAUUGUGUUAAUCACCAAAAAUGUCAAGGUGGAUUUACUCCUUAUAGAUUGCAUAGAACACUUAAUUUUUCCUUUUAUAAAAAGAAGCAAGUAUAAUCUUAAGAAAUUGCAUCAAUGCAAAAAAACAGAUUGGAACUCUAAAAGACUUGUUGCUUUUAUCUCCUUGAUUGCAAGUUCAUUUACAUAUCUUUAGCCUGUGGACACCUUUAGAGCUAAGGAAAUCCUUGGAUUUAUGUCUUGUUACCGUGUGACCAUGAUAUUUUAUUAAUCGUUGUACACGGUGGAUCACAAUGCGUUAAUUGAGCCAUAUUUUGUAAGUAUGGUUUUUUACUUAAGUUAUAAUCACUUUUAGAUUACACUUGAUUCCUUAAUAAAAAGUAAAAUUUAUCUCCUGUUGGCAUUAUUUUGUGAUAUCCAUUAAAGAACUUAUGAGAAAAUAUAUUAUUUAGCAUUUCAUGUUUAAUACAUAAAUCUUUUAUGCUUAGAGAAGACAAUGGGACAGUGUUUUUUUUUUUUUUUUUUUUUUUUUUUUUUUUUUGUGCCCACCCUACCCCAACCCUAAUGGUAUAAGUUUAAAAUUUAAAUAAAUGGGUUUUGGACGGGUUUGAGAUUUUUUUAAAAACUCAAGACGGAUUCGAGACAGGUUUGAGUAUUGUCUUGUUCUACCCCAUUCCACCCGAUUAUAUAUAAAAUUUAAUUUUUAAAGUAAUUUAAUUUAAUUUUUAUUUUCCUACUUUUAAUAUAUAUAUAUAUAUAAUAACAAAAUACUUUUAUAAUAGGUUUUAAUAUUUUAAUUAUUUAUAAAAUAUAUUUAUUUUAAUGUAAUUAAAAAAAUAUUUAAAUUUAAAAAAAAAAAAGUUAAAGAGGACAAGGCAUGUCGGGUAUGGGAAUUUCUCAUACCCACCCCACUCUAUUUAAUUUUUUUUAAUGGGACGGGGAUGGGAAAUAUUUUAACCCAUUCCAAAUCCGUCUCGUUGUCAUCUCUAUUUAUGCUCAUUUGAAUUUAAAGUAAAAUGGAAAAAAAAUAAAAAGAAAAUAUAAGUAAAUAAAAAUUCAAGAGAAAAAAAAAUACAUCUAAACUUCUUGAAUCCUUUUUAUGUUUUUUUUUAAUAAUUUUAUUAUGUUUAUUUUCCCUUCUUAAUUUUCGAGUUAAGCCAAAUCGAAUAAUUUGAAUUUUUACACAAUUCCUUUUUAUAAUUUUUGCUAUGAUCCAAUCGGAGGAGUCUUAGAGAUCCAAAUUUCUCAUGAUUCAAUAACAACAAUGGGUCUCCCAUCUUCAACAACACUAGAAAGGCAACCAACCUUGAUCCUUUGUAGUAGUGGUCACCAUCCUAGAUUUGCUCAUUGACAAUAGCCGGUUCUCGAACGUAGGGACCACAAAUCAUGUGACCAAUGAUUUGAGCAAUCUGAAUCUUAGGUCUGAGUAUCAAGACACAAACAACGUUUACAUGGGUAAUGGUGUAGGUUUGGCAAAAUGGUAGGAAGAUGAAGCUGCAAAGAGUUUAUGUUUAAUUAUAAUUAUUUAUAUUUGAUUAUACAAGAAUAUAUUCAUCAAACAAAUUUUCUUUUGAUUUUUAUACACUUUAUAUAUAAUUUUAAAGGAUUUAUGCUGAUAAAAUAUGAGAUUAAUUCAAUGGUUCAACUGAUCCAAACAAAGCAAAUUUUGGUGCAAUUAGUGCAAUUGAAAAUUUCUUAAGCAAUAAAUGGAAAUCAAAUUAAUAGUAAAUUUCAUCAUCUAAUUGAUUUGGUUGACCUGCAACUAAGGUUUGAUUUAAUGAAUAUAUAUUAUUAUUGUACAAAUAAGCUCUGUGCUUAUUUGAUUUUUCUGAUGCAAAAAGAACUUUUGUAGAGAAAAAGAAAAUUGAGUGAUAGUUUGAUAGAAGAACAGUCCAUAUGUUAUAGGACACUUGCUAUUUACCCUUGAAAUUUAUAUAUAUAUGCAUUCCCCCAUUGAAUGUUCGUUUCUUUGAUGAUCAUCUAAGUAGUUGAUAUCAGUCAAAUAUUUUAUAAAAACACUUGUAUUGUUCUUGCUCAAAUUAACUUUAAAUUAUUUACUUUAAAAUGAAUUAUUAUUAGUGUUAAGUAGCCAUAAUUCUUUUUUUUUCUUUUUCUUUUUUCUUUUUUAUCUUCUUCAUAAAAAUUAAGAAACAUGGCUCAUAAACUCUCAAAACUCAAUUUUGUUAAUUUUUAAUAUUCUUCUUGGAUUAUCUUUUUCUAAGAUUUAGAGAUAUUUGAUUUAUUAUUUGUAUUUGAUGAUGCCAAGGGUUUUUAUCUUUUUUAAUAAUUUGAUUUUAAUUUCAAUAGGAAUCCUUUAUCUAGAAAUGUAGGUUUUUUAAAAUGUGUUUGAGAGUGUUUUUAUUUAAAAUGUUUUUAGUUGAAAUGAUUUUAUAGAAGUGUUUUUUACAGAAUCACCUAUCAAGUGCUUCUUCAAAAAGCACUAUAAGUAAUUUUUUUAACUUUUUAAUCACAAUAGGCUAGAGUUCUUCUCUCGUUGUGGUUGUUGCAUUGCCUCUAAUGUAUUCCUCCUUAUACAUAUUGGGUCUCUUAAGAUGAAAAGCAAUAAAGAUACAACCUAUUCGCAAACUCCCUAUACAGACUUCCCUCCAUGGUGGAAUAUCAUGAGGCUUGACCAAGGAGUUUAUGUGAUUCCCUUUUGUCAUGCAUGGGUGACACUUCACUAUUUGCAUAAAAAAUCAUUAGGUCAUCUCUACAUAUGUUGAAUCUUUUGUGGUAUUUCAUGUUGAUAGAUCAAUGUUCUUCAAUGGUGCUAAGAAUUGCUAGGUUUGACAAUAUAUUAAUGGGUACAUUGUUUUCCCUCAUUAUUUGCUCAAUUUGGAAGUUAUCAAACCACUAGCUUCCAAUUUGGCUUAGGUUAGGUAUGCUUCCAUCCAUUCAUCUUUGGUUUCAUAUUGGGUUAAAACUUGGCAAACCAUGAAUUUAUAAUCAGGAUAGACUUGAAACACUUACGAGCUCUAAGUAGGUGCAUGGUUUCUAACUUAUAAAGAAGGGCCUUAUAUUUAGCUUCAUUAUUGGAUGCUUUGAAACCUCAUGCAAUACUUUUUUCAAUGAUUCCAUAAAUGAAUCCAAUGUUUGCACCCUUCUAACUAGAGGUUUUAUCCGCAUAUAGGAUUAUAUGGAGGUUGUAUACAAUAGAUAGCAAGUCAUAGGCCCAAGUACUUAGUGUCUCAUUUUUAUUUACAUGGGGAUGAAUAGGAGUGUAGUUGACUCAAUGUAGUGGGAUAUUGAGUCAACUUCAAAAUUGGAUUCUAAAGGGGUCAAGACUGUCCUAUGGGUUCUAAUGGUCCUCAUUUGAGCUCAUAUAUCUUGUUGGGACUGUUUAUGAAGGUUGGAUUGACUCUUGGUUCAUUUAUGUACAUAAGGAUGUUUUGGUAAUUUCGCAAGGUUGCAUAAGAGUUAGUGAACGACAUUUUUAGAUUGGCCUAAUUGAUUAAUUAGACAACCUUAUUGGGUUAAUUAAUCAAUUAUAAUCCUUUUUGAGCUAGAUCAAGUGACCUAAGCCUAUGGUGGGCUCAAGUCACUUAAGCCUAGUAAGAAUUUUAUAAAUAGCCCCUUAAGGGUUAAGGUUUCAAGUUUUUUCUUCUGUUCAUUCUUUGAAUUUCAAAUAAGGAUUCCUAGUCUCUACCCUCCAAACUUUCACCAUUUGAAUGCCAAGCUUCAAGGUUGAGUCAUCCGGUGGAAGGACGUGGGUCUACGAGACUUCCAACGACUUCGUUUUGUUCUUCACCAAAAGAAAACAGUUUGGGAAUUCCAUAUCAAUUGUAAGCACACUAAACUUUUUUUCAAAAUCCUAGAAAAAAAUUUUGAUGCAUGUAUUCCAAUAUGCAUAGGAUUUAGAAAAGCCUAGGGAGUUUUACAUGUAUCUAACCUAAUCCUAAGACAAGAAACGGAACAAUCCAAAAUUCUCUUUAAGAUGUUGGAAUGCAAUUAACUCUCUACGGUAGAAUGUUAAAUCAACUUCAAAAUUAGAUUUUGAAUGAGCUUCUAUAUCUUUUAUGGUUCCCAAUAGUUCCUACUAGAGCUCACACUCCUUGAUGGCAUAUUGAGGGAUAUUUGGGUUUCAAUUCAUAUGUGUGCAUCAGAGUAUUUCAAUAAAAAUGUAAGGUUGCACAAGGGCUUAUAAAUUGUCUUUCUACAAUAGGUUAAUUAAUUAAUUGUAGCCUAAUAGGACUAAUUAAUUAAUUACAACCCAGUGAGUUAAAAUAAGCAAUGCAAGCCCGAGAUAGGCUCAAAUCACUGAAACUUACAAGGAGUCUAUAUAAACACUCUUAAGAUUUAGAGUUAGAUAGUCUAGCUUAUUACUGUCUUCUAAAGAGAACCCUAGCCCUUAUCCCUCUAGAGAAAAGUUCUCCCUUCUCCAUUGCUAAGAUCCAAGGAAGAACCAUCAAUUGAAAGAUCUUUAUGUCUUUGAGAUAGUUCUUCAUUGAUUGGAAUAGACGUGGAAACAUCCAAAUCUUAGCUAUGUGAUCUUUAUUGUUUUUUAUAACCUUUAAUAAAGUUUUAAGGGCCUAUCUAUUAAUUUAUACUGCACUUAGGAUCUUAGUUGCAUGCACCCUUAAGAGAUCCAAGGCUUGGAUUAGAUUUAUCCAAGAAUCCAACCAGUAGGCUUUUCCUAUUGUUUUGCAGCUUUUUGCCACAUACUUCCAAAGGUGGUUGGAGGUAUCUAUUUAGCGACAAUUGUUAGAUAAUGACUACUUUAGAGGUCAUCAUCGUAUGUCAAGGCCCUCAUUUUUGGGUUGGGUGAUUUUUUGGACCUUCAAUCCUUGUACCAUCAUUUUGUAUCAUCAACUAGAGCUGGCUAGUUCUCUUUUUCUAGCCUCUGAAUCAAGCUCUUUCACUCCUAAAAUCCUCCAUUCCUUCUUUUUGACCAAUUCCUAAUAUAAUCAGACUAAAUCUCAUGUUCAUGGUAUUGCUCACCCUAUGAUUACUCAAUCCAAGAAAUUGUUAUUUAAGCCUAAGGUCUACUUGACUAUUAAUUUUACCAUUGUGGAGCCUAGCACUAUGCAAGAAGCUUUACAAAUUCAUCAUUAGAUGGAACCUAUGGAAUAAGGGUAUACUGCCUUAAUUAAAAAUAAGAUCUAAUCUCCAAUUCAAAAGUUAAUUGAUAGAAGAAUAGUUUGUUGCAAAUGGGUAUUCAAAAUCAAAAGGAAUCCUAAUGAGACUAUACAACAGUACAAGUCACAAUUGAUGGCUAAAAGAUAUUAGUAAUCUCCUGGUUUUAAUUUCAUUGAGACCUUCGGUCCAAUGGUUAAACUGACAACAAUUCAUGUGGUGCUAAUAACUUUAGAUAGAAAUUGGGAGAUCAAACAAUUGGAUAUAAAUAAUGCACUCUUGAAUGGGAUCCCCCAAGAACUGUAUUUUUGGAUCAAUCUCUUAGGUUUGAACAACAUGAUCAAUACGAACUUCUAGUACACAAGCUACAUAGUACUAUAUGGCUUGAAACAAGUCUCACAAGUUUGGUUUGACAAUCUUAGAUCAUCACUGUAGAACUAAAUCUUAUCUCCUCGAGUUUUCUUUUCAUUCUAUUAUUGUCCUCUUGAAUAAAAACUGCUCUCUUAAGGAUCUUGGAUCCCUUAACUACUUAGAAAUUAAGGUAAAGAAAACAGAAAUUGGAAGUUUACUUCUUUCUCGAGAAAAAAAUAUAACAGAACUCCUACAUAAAGCUCAUAUGGACAUAGAGCAUUUUCCACUUCAAUGAUGCGAACUCUACAGAUUGCUUAUGAUGAUGACUCUAUGAAGAAUCCAACACUACUUAUAGAAGCCAAGAGGAUGCAUGUAGUAUGUAACUAUUACCAAACGCGAGAUUGCCUAAUGUAAACAAGGUAUCUUAAUAUAUGCAACACCCUUCAUAUUGUCAUUGGAAGUCUGUAAAGAGCAUCCUAGGUAUCUGAAAGCGACUAUUGAUUUUGGAAUUCAUUGGCAUCAGAUCCACAUAAUAGAAAAUCUAAUCUGGAUUUUGUAUCUUUCUUAGCAACAAUCCUAUCACCUGGAGCUCAAAGAAGGAAACUACAAUCUCAAGAUCAAGCACUAAGGCUGGAUAUAGAUGUCUAGCUAAUUCUACAGAAAAAAUAGUUUGGCUUCAAUCCUUUAUCAAAGAACUUAGCAUUCUACAAACCAAAGUUCCAAUUCUUUAGUGUGACAAUCUAAUUGUUGUUUCUUUAAGUGCUAAUUUUGUCUAACAUUUAGAACCCAAUGUAUGGAACUUGACUUAUAUUUUGUUCAAGAAAUUAAGAUCCUUGAGAAUUUCUUUUAUCAUAUUGUUGAUAUCUUCACCAAACCACGGUCUACUGCCUAUGUGGUGUCACCCACCAACCACACUCAACUUGAGGGGGCUAUUGGAGAUGAUGCAAGAAGAUAGAAAAGAUGAAACUGAAACUCUGCCCUCUUUGUUAGAGAAGCAAGAGAGAGAAAUUGAAUAUAUAUAUAUAUAUAUGUAUUGUUCAAACAACUCUAUUACAACAGAUGGAGACAGACUGUAAUACCAGCUAGUACAACUAAAAUACAGUUGGUAAAAUAACAAACGAAUAACAAUAAAGCUAACAAAUAACAAGUGGGCUUCAUCUCGUGAGAUCAAUAACUAACUCCUCUUUUCUUGGCUUAUCAUCCCCCCUCAAGUGAAAGGGUCUUAGAGCUAUACAAAGCUGAGAUUUGAGGGACAAGAACCUUGAACUUGUGAGAUGCUUAGUCAAUAAAUCUGUUGGCUGCUCUUUAGUGGGAACAAAGUGCAGUUGUAUCUUUCCUCUCAUGACUUGAUCUCAUAUAAAAUGAAGGUCUAUUUCUAUGUGUUUAGUUCUAGCAUGAAACACAAGGUUCUUUGCCAUAUGGUAAGCACUGAUAUUAUCAUACCAAAGUAGAGAUAUUGCAGAUAUUGGCACACAUAGCUAUUGCAGUAAGACUUGUAUCCAAACAAUCUCAAUCGUAGCGAAAACAAGGCCACGAUACUCAGACUCUACACUAUUGCAAGACACUACUUUUUGUUUGGUAGAGGACCAAGAGACUAAGUUACCUCCUAGAUAAACGAGAUAUCCACUUGAGUUGCCCCUAUCAUCAAGGUGAACACCCCAAUCUGCAUCUGUGAAUCCCUAUAUUGUCAAGUUACUUGAAGGACUUAACAGGAGCCCAUCUUGCAUUGUUCCUCUUAGAUACUGAAGUAUUCGUUUGACUGAGAGCCAGUGAGUUGUGGUUGGGUGUUACAUAAAUUGUCAUGCCUUAUUGACAACAAAGGCUAUAUCAGGUCUUGUCAAGGUAACAUACUGAAGUGCCUCUACUACACUUCGAUAAUGAGUAACAUCUGCCAUAGGAUCUCCAUCAAAUUUAGACAAGUUCUUCCCAACAGCACCAGGUGUUUUUACCGGUUUGGUAUCAAACAUUUCAGUUCUAUGAAGCAGAUCUGAAAUGUAUUUGGUUUGGCUCAAAUGCAUAGAGCCUUCAUUGUAAGAAACCUCUAUACCGAAAAAGAAUGAGAGUUAACCCAAGUCGCGUAAGGCAAAAACUAAAUCAAGUUUAGCUAUGAGAGAAUAAAUCUAUGUGGAGGAGCUACCUGUUUUGAUUAUAUCAUCAACAUAGACAAGAACUAUCAAAGUAGUGGCCUGACCAAAGUGUAGAAACAUAGAACUAUCAGUCCGAGACAUGUUGAAUCCCCACUGAAGAAGAGCAUAGCUGAGUCUUUGAAACCAAGCUCGUGGGACUUGUUUCAAGCCAUAUAAAGCCUUCUUCAAUCUACACACUCUAUUUGGGAAUUGAGUGUCGAAGUAUCCAGGAGGUUGAGACAUAUAGACUUGUUCUUCUAACUCACCAUUGAGGAAGGCAUUGUGAACAUCAAGCUGCCGAAUUUCCCACUUAAAACUGAGAGCAACAGUAAGUAUGAUGCGAAUAGUGGCAACCUUAACUACUGGACUAAAGGUCUCAAAAUAGUCCAGACUAUGAGUCUGAUUAUAUCCUUUUGCCACAAGCCUAGCUUUAUACCUCUCUCUACUCCCAUCUGGCUUAUGUUUCAGUUUAUACACCCACUUAUAGCCAAUCACAUUGACAUCGGGUGGUUGUUCAACAAGAUCCCAAGUAUGGUUUCGAUGAAGAAUAGCAAUCUCCAUUUCCAUAGCUUUAGUCCAGUUUGGAUCUUUGAAGGCCUGUUUAAGAGUAGAUGGUUCUGAAACCUUUAUGGUAGAGAGAUCAAGAAUGGUCUUUUUCUUGGUUAUACCACGCAUGGACCUUGUUGUCAUUCGUGGAGCAGGAGCAGUGACUUGAGGUUCUGGAACAGAUUCAGCUGGCAAAUCUGUAGUAGGAGAUUAACUAGAUGUGUCCAGAGGUGAAGAAGAGUCUAUAGGAAUAGGACUUUCACUUAUGGAUAGAGAAUGAGAAUCUAUGGAAGCAUGAUUGAUAUUUGAAUCUGGGAGAAGACAUGGAGUAGGAAAAUAAGUAGGAACUAUAAUGGCAGGGGUAGAGCCUUCUGUUGAAGUAUCAUUAGACAAAAUGGAAGACUUGGACUGAGCAAGUGGGAAAGUUGAUUCAUCAAAGACCAUGCGGGGAGUAAUAUAGACUCUUCCAGUUGCAUAAUCAAGACAUAAAAACCCCUUGUGAUUCAAACUAUAGCCAUGAAAAAGACAUUGGACAGAUCUGUACUGCAAUUUAUGAGUGUUGUAUGGCCGAAUGAAAGGAUCACAGAGGCAGCCAAACACACGAAGAGAUUUAUAAUCAGGAUGCCUUCUAAAAAGAGUGAAAGAAGGAGAAUCAUACUUGAGAACUUUGCUUGACAUUUGAUUGAUAAGAAAAGUUGUUGUCUGAAAAGCGUAGUGCCAGUACUUCAUUGGCAAGGAAGCAUGAGAUAACAAAGCUAACCCAGUCUCAACUACGUGUCUGUGCUUCCGCUCAACUCUACCAUUUUGAGCUGAGUUGUAUGGACAGGAGAAUCGAUGGGCAAUACCAACUGCUUGAAGAAAAGACAUAAAAGAUCGAAAUUCUCCACCAUUAUCAGACUGUAAGUACUUAAUUUUCAUGUCAAAUUGAUUCUCCAUUUGAAGCUUGAAUCGCUUAAAGAUGGGAAGGGCCUGAUCCUUUGUUUGUAAUGAAUAAAACCAAGUGUACCUGGAAUAAUCAUCUACAAAAAGAAUGAAAUAUUUCGCUCCAGAUGUAGAUUUAACUAAGGCAGGUCCCCAAAUACCCGUAUAAACAAGUUCUAAAGGUUUAGAUGCACGAAAAUUUGAGAGUUGAGUGGGUAGUCUAUGACUUUUAGCUAACUGACAAUCAAAACAAAUAGUAGAUUUAUAUUUCCCAGAAGCAACAUUACAAGUAUUCAUGACUUUUGAAACAAUGUCAGGAGCAACAUGGCAUAGUCUAUUAUGCCAUAACUCUACUUUAUUUUCAACAGUACUAGAAAAAUGGGAAUGAAAAGCAGAAGCAUUAUUAAUACUACUGCAAGGUUUCUUGUUGCUGAACACAGGAAACUUGUAAAGCCCAUUUUCAAGCUUACCUUGAGCAAGAACCAUCUUCGUAUGUCAAUCCUUCACAAAGAAAGCAUUAGAAUGAAACUCAAUCAAGGCAUUAUUAUCUGAGUAGAACUUAGCCACACUAAUCAAAUUAGUUGAGAUAAAGAGGACAUGAAACACAUUCUUGAGUUGAAAAGAAUGUGUAUGAGAAUGAAGUUGUUUAGAGCCAAUAUUGGAGAUGGAGAGAUGCUUACCAUUACCAAUAGUGACUCUAUCUGUUCAUGUGUAUGGUGAAGUACUGGUUAGAUUUCCCAAAUUCUGAGUCAGAUGGUGACUUGCUCCAGAAUCCAAAUACCAACUCUCAUCUGUAGGACUAUUAAAAGAAGAAGCAACCAUAGCAGGUAUAUUGUUUUGAUUCCCAUUAUUCAAAGAAUGAGAAGUAGUCGUCUGACCACCUUGAAAAGAGAUAUCAAACCUAUGAUAACAUAUCUGAGCAGUGUGGCCAAACUUACCACAUAACUGACAUUGAGGUUUCUCACUUGGACUGGAAUUUUUCCUUCCACCUUGUCCAUUUCUACCUCCACGUCCACAACCUCUGUAGGUGUAAUUAUUGUUAUUUGGAGCAUAGCCUUGUCCACGACCUCCAUUAAACUUCCUUCCACCACCUAUGUUAUUAGAGGAAGAGGCAUAAUUGGCAGACAUUUGUUCAAUAGAGCUUUGUUGCUCAAGAUGAUGCUCAAAGGCUAAUAGCGUACUAUGUAUAGCUUCAAAAGAGAUCUUAUCAUCUCUAAUGUUGAUAGCAGUAACAACGACAUUGUAGUCGGAUCCAAGACCUCUAAGAAGAUUCAUAACCUGAUCUUGUUUUGAGACAGGUUCUCCAAUAGCAACUAGAUUAUCAGCAGCUCCUUUGAUCUUCAUUAUGUAGUCUAUCAUUUACAUUGAUCCUUUCUUUGUGGAUUGUAAUUCGAGUCUGAGUUGCAUUAUCCUAGCUCCUGAAGAAGGUGAAAAAAAUACUUUCCAAGGCAUUCCUAGCAGAGUGAGAAGUAUUAUGGCCUAUGAUCUGUGCCAUGAUACUUGGUGUGAGCAACGAGUACAUCCAGCUGAGGAUUGUUCAAUCUUGUCUCCUCCAAGCAACAAAAGCUGGAUUGAUCACUCCUGGACUCGGAUCUUUCUCCGGACAGAUAGAGGUUCCAUCAAUGAAAUCCUCAAAGCCAUUAGCAAAAACAACAUUAUCAAUAUGAGAUCUCCACAGGAUGUAAUUCGUCCGAUCAAGUUUCACAGGCAGAGUGUGAUUAAGCAUCUGAUAAGAAGGAAUGGAUGCCAUUGUUGAGCUUUUUCCAGAUCCAAUCGAACCAGAGGAAGAAGAAGAUUGUGUUGAAGUAGAGGCCAUGUUUGGAUCGAGAGAAACAGAGAGAAAGUGAGAAAGAGAAGAAAAAUUCACACCUUGAACGUGAGCUCUGAUACCAAGACAGAAAAGAUGAACUAAAACUCUGCUCUCUUUGUUAGAGAAGCAAGAGAGAGAAAUUGAAUAUAUAUAUUGUUCAAAGAACUCUAUUACAAUAGAUGGAGACAGACUGUAAUACCAGCUGGUACAACUAAAUUAAUACAGUUGGUAAAAUAACAUACCAAUAACAAUAAAGCUAACAAAUAACAAGUGGGCUUCAUCUCAUGAGAUCAGUAACUAACUCCGCUUUUCUUGGCUUAUCACAAGAUUUGCUCCAUAACCGAAGAAAAAUUAGUCGUUGUCUAUUCUAGAAUAUUCAAUGCAGCAGAAUUGUAUAGGGAUUGCAACAUCAUAAAAACAAUGUUUGAUCAAUGCUGAGAAGUAAGCAAACUUCAUUUUUUGAUAAUAUUUUACUCCAUACAUACUUGAACUGAAAACCUAACAUGAGGUAUUGUCAAAAUAACAUCGAUCUUAAUCUGGCGAUAAUAAAGAUUAAAAGCAUAUGAGGCAGACAUGCGCUAACAGAUGCAUGAAACUCAUGGGCUGCUAGGUAGAGGUGGUGGUGGUGGUGGUGGAGAUAGUGAAUGUGGUGAUGAUUGCAGUAGCCCAACAUGAGGUGGUGAGGGAGGAGGCACAUAAAAUUGAUGCGGCUUCCCAGGCUGAGGAGGAGGCUUCCACAUGGGACUCCCAACUCGAUCUGGGUAUACCUUCAUUUGCUUCAACAAUCGAUUUGAAGCAGCGGGCACAAAAUCCAUAUCAGAAGCAGCUUCUAAGGGUCGUGCCAUCGCCACGUAGCUCUUACCUGUGUGACUGAUCUGCAACACCACACUAUGAAUUAAUAUAACUAAAAGCAAGAAAAGAGCAUUCAUUGCAGUCACUUUGCUAUGGCAUUAUGCUUGAUCUUAUGUAUAUAUUAUAUAGAUGGAGAGGUCAAUUAGUUGACUCAUUGCUCGAGAAAUAUCAG
rnacentral:lncRNA from 1 species